rnacentral:rRNA from 1 species
GACGGGGAUACCGCCGGGAAACUCGGAGCUGAUACCGAAAACCAUAUCUGCGCAUGAGGAUAUGUUAGAGGUGGCUUUUAGCUACCACUCGGGAUGGGCCCGCGGCGCAUUAGCUAGUUGGUGAGGUAACGGCUCACCAAGGCGACGAUGCGUAGCCGACCUGAGAGGGUGAUCGGCCACACUGGGACUGAGACACGGCCCAGACUCCUACGGGAGGCAGCAGUAGGGAAUCUUCCGCAAUGGACGAAAGUCUGACGGAGCAACGCCGCGUGAGUGAUGAAGGUUUUCGGAUCGUAAAGCUCUGUUGUUAGGGAAGAACAAUUACCUGUUAAAUAAUCAGGUACCUUGACGGUACCUAACCAGAAAGCCAC